rnacentral:rRNA from 1 species
AUUUCGGGAUCAAUGCGUCGGUCGUGCCUUCGGUACGUACUGGCGUCAUUGAUUCCUCCCUUCUGAAGAACCGUGAUGUCAUUAAUUUGGUGUUACGGGGAAUCAGGACUGUUACCUUGAAAAAAUUAGAGUGUUUAAAGCAGGCUAACGCUUGAAUACAUUAGCAUGGAAUAAUGAAAUAGGACGUUCGAACCUAUUUUGUUGGUUUCUAGGAUCGACGUA